rnacentral:rRNA from 1 species
AUGGACAUGCACAUGGUGCCUUGCGACACCUCACACGCGGGUCCAAACAACCGACUCAUGGGCGUCUCACCGGACAACCGGCUCUUCUUAAUGUAUUAUUGUUUCAUGGGAGCGCGGCUGGGGAAGCUUGUGUUGAAGCUAACCUAUCUCGAGUUUUCCAAUGAAGAUGACAUGCAAACUGGCAAGAUAUGUAGAAAACGCAAAAUUGUGUUGAUGGAGCAAAUGGGGAAACUGAUGAUGGUGGUGACUCGCUAUGUCCACACAAUCAAGUUGUGGUGGUUUGGCGAGAAGAGCGGCAUCCUGUUGUUCACAAUGGGAGAAGGGAGCGGGCAACCUGGCACCUACAUGUUGAAACUUGAGGAGACAACAUUUGCCAGGUCCGGCGAUGAUGGUCACUUAUGGAAAAACUUGCUCGGGUACGAGAUGGAUAUGACGGCGUACCUUACAUCGUUCAGCUCAGGCAUAUAUCCUUCAAACGAGUGA